UAAGACGAACCGUGCGAACGUUGUUCGGAAUCACUGGGCUUAAAGGGCGCGUAGGCGGGCUGCCAAGUCAGGGGUGAAAGCCCACGGCUCAACCGUGGAAGCGCCUUUGAUACUGGCGGCCUCGAGGGAAGUAGGGGCGUGCGGAACUUCCGGUGGAGCGGUGAAAUGCGUAGAUAUCGGAAGGAACACCGGUGGCGAAAGCGGCGCGCUGGACUUCUACUGACGCUGAGGCGCGAAAGCCAGGGGAGCAAACGGG
rnacentral:rRNA from 1 species